rnacentral:rRNA from 1 species
AUUGAACGCUGGCGGAAUGCUUUACACAUGCAAGUCGAACGGCAGCACGGACUUCGGUCUGGUGGCGAGUGGCGAACGGGUGAGUAAUGUAUCGGAACGUGCCCAGUCGUGGGGGAUAACGUAGUGAAAAUUACGCUAAUACCGCAUACGAUCUAUGGAUGAAAGCGGGGGAUCGCAAGACCUCGCGCGAUUGGAGCGGCCGAUAUCAGAUUAGGUAGUUGGUGGGGUAAAGGCCCACCAAGCCAACGAUCUGUAGCUGGUCUGAGAGGACGACCAGCCACACUGGAACUGAGACACGGUCCAGACUCCUACGGGAGGCAGCAGUGGGGAAUUUUGGACAAUGGGCGAAAGCCUGAUUCAGCCAUUCCGCGUGCAGGAUGGAGGCCCUCGGGUUGUAAACUGCUUUUGUACAGGACGAAAAGGUUUCUACUAAUACUAGGAGCUCAUGACGGUACUGUAAGAAUAAGCACCGGCUAACUACGUGCCAGCCGCCGCCGUAA